rfam:Felis catus isolate Cinnamon breed Abyssinian chromosome E2, whole genome shotgun sequence.
GCCUGGGUGACUCAGUCGGUUAAGUGUCUGACUUCGGCUCAGGUCAUGAUCUCACAGUUUGUGAGUUCAAGCCCCACAUCGGGCU